AAUGAACGUUGGCGGCGUGGAUUAGGCAUGCAAGUCGUACGCACAGCUUCGGCUGUGAGUGGCGCAAGGUGAGUAAUGCGAAGGUAACCAACCCUGGAGUUGGGCAUAACCGCGGGAAACUGCGGGUAAUUCCCAGCGAUGUCGCGAGAUGGCAUCAUCUUGCGACCAAAGGUGUGAUUCCGCUCUAGGACGGGCCUUCGUGGUAUUAGGUAGUUGGUGAGGUAACGGCUCACCAAGCCGACGAUGCCUACCGGGUGUGAGAGCAUGACCCGGCACACUGGAACUGAGACACUGUCCAGACACCUACGGGUGGCUGCAGUCGAGAAUCUUCGGCAAUGGGCGAAAGCCUGACCGAGCGACGCCGCGUGAGGGAAGAAGGCCCUUC
rnacentral:rRNA from 1 species